AGCCUUUUUGAAGUCUUGUGCCCCAAACCCUCAGGAGCCAUGCUGCUGUUGCUGACCUUGGCUCUCCUUGCUGGUGCCACCUGCAGAGCCCAGAAUGUACUGGGCAAUAAUAGAGGCACCUAUUUCUACAUUGUUGAUGAAGGGAAGGGGGAAAUCAAGUCCAUUCGGAUCUUCUAUACAGCAGCAAGACGUCUCAAGGGCAUCCAGCUGCAGUUUCAAAAUCAAUGGAGUGAUAUCAAAUGAGGCCGAUCAAGCCGUUUUGAAGAGUUUCUGAUGAAUGAUGACGAGUAUGUAAUAAAGGUUCUUGGUAGUGUGGGACUCUGCAUGAACUCUCUGACAUUUAUUACCAACAAGGGGACUGAGUUUUCCUUUGGUAAAAAAAAAGGACGUCCAAUUGCAGAGAGUGGAGGUCCAGACAAACAUCUACAGACUAUCAAUGGCGUAUACUCAGACAUGUGCCUCCAAGGGAUAGGCUUUAAAUGGACCGAUAACAAACUGAUGCGUCCUGGAGAACCAGUGCCCAUCCCUGGCACUGCCAAAGGGAAGGAAGAUAGCAAAGACAAAAAAAAGGAUGAACAAAAACAAGAAGAAGAAGAAGAAGAUGAUGAUGAUGAUGAUGAUGUCGAUGAUGUUCAUAACAAUUUUGAGGAGUGGAAAGAUGAGAAAAAGUAGUAGUGAGCUCAGAUCUCAGUCCCAUAUCCCCACAUCGUAUGACCCCUUCUCAGCCAAGCUCACCCACCUGGAGGGACCAGUGUCCCAGGUGACCCUGGGCUGGAGGAGGCAAAGCCCAAAAGACCCUGUAUCUCUGUGUCCAAUAAACUUCGUGCA